rnacentral:rRNA from 1 species
UCAAGCGAACAAGGGCGCAGGGCGAAUGCCUUGGCACUGGGAGCCGAUGAAAGACGUGAUAAGCUGCGAUAAGCUUCGGGGAGCUGCAAAUAAGCAUUGAUCCGGAGAUUUCUGAAUGAGGAAACUCACCUGGGUUCAUACUCAGGUACAAUACACUGAAAUUUAAAAUAGGUGUAUUGAGGGAACCGCCUGAACUGAAACAUCUAAGUAGGGCGAGGAAGAGACAUCAAACGAGAUUCCGUAAGUAGUGGCGAGCGAACGCGGAAGAGGGCAAACCGAGAGUAGAAAUACUUUCGGGGUACGGACUGCUUUUAAGACUCAAUCUGUUAACCGAACGGCAUGGGAAGGCCGGUCAGAGAGUGUGAGAACCACGUAGGUGAAAACGGAGAGAGCUGCGCAGGAUCCAGAGUACGGCCAGACACGUGAAACCUGGUCGGAAUACGGGGGGACCACCCUCCAACCCUAAAUACUACCCAGUGACCGAUAGCGUAUAGUACUGUGAAGGAAAGGUGAAAAGCACCCCGGGAGGGGAGUGAAAAAGAACCUGAAACCCUGUGCCUACAAGCACCUAGAGCGCGUCAAUGCGUGAUAGGGUACUUUUUGUAGAACGGUCCGGCGAGCGAUUGUAUGCAGCAAGGUUAAGGACUUAAGGUCUGGAGCCGAAGCGAAAGCGAGUUUGAAAAGGGCGUUAAGUUGCAUAUAAUGGGCCCGAAACCGGGUGACCUACCCAUGGUCAGGUUGAAGUGGAAGUAAAAUUCCAUGGAGGACCGAACCGACCUCCGUUGAAAAGGCGGCGGAUGAACUGUGGGUAGCGGAGAAAUUCCAAUCGAACCCGGAGAUAGCUGGUUCUCCCCGAAAUAGUUUUAGGACUAGCCUCAAGUUAGAUACCUGGAGGUAAAGCACUGAAUAGCCUAGCGGCCGAGAGGUUAGCGAAGCUUAUCAAACUCAGAAUGCCAGAGUAUUGAUGCUUGGGAGUCAGACAGUGUCAGAUAAAUGUCAUUGUCAAAAGGGAAACAGCCCAGAUCUACAGCUAAGGUCCCAAAGUCAGGUUAAGUGGAAAACGAUGUGAAGAUACGCAGACAACCAGGAUGUUGGCUCAGAAGCAGCCACUCAUUCAAAGAGUGCGUAAUAGCUCACUGGUCGAGCGUCUUUGCGCGGAGAAUUUAACGGGGCUAAACCUGACACCGAAGCUUAGGCAAUACAGCAAUGUAUUGGGUAGGGGAGCGUUGUAUACGCGGAGAAACAGUAGCGCAAGCGGCUGUGGAGUGUAUAGAAGUGAGAAUGCCGGAAUGAGUAGCGCGAAUGCAGUGAGAAUCUGCAUGGCCGAAAGCCUCAGGUUUCUGGAGGAAGGUUCGUCCGCUCCAGGUUAGUCGGGAGCUAAGGUGAGGCCGAAAGGCGUAGCCGAUGCACAGACGGUAGAGAUUCCGUCACCACCAAAAGAGUUAAGCACAGGGACACAUAUGAAGUCUCAGAGCCGGGUGUUGGUUCCGGUAGAGAUCGAGGGAAAUUAGUACCGAAGUCUGAGAUGGAAGAUGGCGAGAAAAGCUGUGUGUAUUUCUGAGGUGCCCGUACCGCAAACCGACACAGGUAGGUAGGAAGAAGAUUCUAAGGCCAACGGGAGAAGGGUUGUUAAGGAACUCGGCAAAUUGACCCCGUAACUUCGGGAGAAGGGGUGCUCCAGAGAUGGAGCCGCAGAGAAUCGGCCCAAGCAACUGUUUACCAAAAACACAGGUUUGUGCUAAAUCGAAAGAUGACGUAUACGAGCUGACGCCUGCCCGGUGCUGGAAGGUUAAGAGGAGAUGUGCAAGCAUUGAAUCGAAGCCCCAGUGAACGGCGGCCGUAACUAUAACGGUCCUAAGGUAGCGAAAUUCCUUGUCAGGUAAGUUCUGACCCGCAUGAAAGGCGUAAUGAUUUGGGCACUGUCUCAACAGCCCGCCCGGCGAAAUUGUAGUACCGGUGAAGAUGCCGGUUACCCGCGACAAGACGGAAAGACCCCAUGGAGCUUUACUGUAGCCUAAUAUUGGGUUUCGAUGUUGCAUGCACAGGAUAGAUGGGACUCUUGGAAACCAAGGCUUUGGCUUUGGCGGAGAGGCCGUUGGGAUACCAUCCUUGCGAUAUUGGAAUUCUAACCUGCGGCUCUGAAUCGAGUCGGGGGACAUUGUUAGGUGGGCAGUUUGACUGGGGCGGUCGCCUCCUAAAGAGUAACGGAGGCGUUCAAAGGUUCGCUCAGCUUGAACGGAAAUCAAGCAAAAGAGUGCAAACGCAGAAGCGAGCCUAACUGCGAGACUGACGGGUCGAGCAGUAACGAAAGUUGGAGUUAGUGAUCCGGUGGUAUGUGAGUGGAAAUGCCAUCGCUCAACGGAUAAAAGUUACCCUGGGGAUAACAGGCUGAUCUCCCCCAAGAGUCCACAUCGACGGGGAGGUUUGGCACCUCGAUGUCGGCUCAUCGCAUCCUGGGGCUGUAGUAGGUCCCAAGGGUUGGGCUGUUCGCCCAUUAAAGCGGUACGCGAGCUGGGUUCAGAACGUCGUGAGACAGUUCGGUCCCUAUCUGUCGUGGGCGCAGGAUAUUUGAUGGGAGCUGUCCCUAGUACGAGAGGACCGGGACGGACGUACCUCUGGCGCACCAGUUGUUCCGCCAGGAGCAUAGCUGGGCAACUACGUACGGAUCGGAUAAACGCUGAAAGCAUCUAAGCGUGAAGCCGACCCAAAGAUAAGAUAUCCCACUGAUUUGAUCAGGUAAGAUCCCUUGUAGACUACGAGGUUGAUAGGCACGAUGUGUAAGUGGAGUGAUCCAUUCAGCAAGUGUGUACUAAUAGAUCGAGGGCUUGACCAC